GUCUCUGUGGUGCAAACGGUUAGCGCGUUUGGCUGUUAACUGAAAGGUUGGUGGUUCAAGCCCACCCAGGGACG
rnacentral:tRNA from 1 species